UGGCGUAAACAAAGGGAGGCAAAGGAGUAAUCUGGAGCGAACCCCAAAAAUAACGUCUCAGUUCGGACUGUGGUCUGCAACCCGACCACACGAAGCUGGAAUCGCUAGUAAUCGUGAAUCAGAAUGUCACGGUGAAUACGUUCCCGGGUCUUGUACACACCGCCCGUCACACCAUGGGAGUCAGCAACGCCCGAAGUCAGUGACCUAACCGAGAGGGAGGAGCUGCCGAAGGCGGGGCCGGUAACUGGGGUGAAGUCGUAACAAGGUAAC
rnacentral:rRNA from 1 species